rnacentral:rRNA from 1 species
UAAUACGGAGGGGGCUAGCGUUGUUCGGAAUUACUGGGCGUAAAGCGCGCGUAGGCGGACCUGCAAGUCGGGGGUGAAAGCCCGAGGCUCAACCUCGGAACUGCCUUCGAUACUGCGGGUCUCGAGUCCGGGAGAGGUGAGUGGAAUUCCUAGUGUAGAGGUGAAAUUCGUAGAUAUUAGGAAGAACACCAGUGGCGAAGGCGGCUCACUGGCCCGGUACUGACGCUGAGGCGCGAAAGCGUGGGGAGCAAACAGGAUUAGAUACCCUGGUAGUCCACGCCGUAAACGAUGGAUGCUAGCCGUUGGCAGGCUUGCCUGUCAGUGGCGCAGCUAACGCAUUAAGCAUCCCGCCUGGGGAGUACGGUCGCAAGAUUA